AGGAAUAUUGGUCAAUGGACGAGAGUCUGAACCAGCCAAGUAGCGUGAAGGAUGACUGCCCUAUGGGUUGUAAACUUCUUUUAUAUGGGAAUAAAGUGGUCCACGUGUGGAUUUUUGUAUGUACCAUAUGAAUAAGGAUCGGCUAACUCCGUGCCAGCAGCCGCGGUAAUACGGAGGAUCCGAGCGUUAUCCGGAUUUAUUGGGUUUAAAGGGAGCGUAGGUGGACAGUUAAGUCAGUUGUGAAAGUUUGCGGCUCAACCGUAAAAUUGCAGUUGAUACUGGGUGUCUUGAGUACAGUAGAGGCAGGCGGAAUUCGUGGUGUAGCGGUGAAAUGCUUAGAUAUCACGAAGAACUCCGAUUGCGAAGGCAGCCUGCUGGACUGUAACUGACGCUGAUGCUCGAAAGUGUGGGUAUCAAACAGGAUUAGAUACCCUGGUAGUCCACACAGUAAACGAUGAAUACUCGCUGUUUGCGAUAUACAGUAAGCGGCCAAGCGAAAGCGUUAAGUAUUCCACCUGGGGAGUACGCCGGCAACGGUGAAACUCAAAGGAAUUGACGGGGGCCCGCACAAGCGGAGGAACAUGUGGUUUAAUUCGAUGAUACGCGAGGAACCUUACCCGGGCUUGAAUUGCAACUGAAUGAUGUGGAGACAUGUCAGCCGCAAGGCAGUUGUGAAGGUGCUGCAUGGUUGUCGUCAGCUCGUGCCGUGAGGUGUCGGCUUAAGUGCCAUAACGAGCGCAACCCUUAUCGAUAGUUACCAUCAGGUUAUGCUGGGGACUCUGUCGAGACUGCCGUCGUAAGAUGUGAGGAAGGUGGGGAUGACGUCAAAUCAGCACGGCCCUUACGUCCGGGGCUACACACGUGUUACAAUGGGGGGUACAGAAGGCAGCUACACGGCGACGUGAUGCUAAUCCCGAAAGCCUCUCUCAGUUCGGAUUGGAGUCUGCAACCCGACUCCAUGAAGCUGGAUUCGCUAGUAAUCGCGCAUCAGCCACGGCGCGGUGAAUACGUUCCCG
rnacentral:rRNA from 1 species